rnacentral:rRNA from 1 species
GACGAACGCUGGCGGCGUGCCUAAUACAUGCAAGUCGAGCGGACCUCUUCGGAGGUCAGCGGCGGACGGGUGAGUAACACGUGGGCAACCUGCCUGUAAGACUGGGAUAACACCGGGAAACCGGUGCUAAUACCGGAUAAUCCUUUUCCUCACAUGAGGGAAAGCUGAAAGACGGCAUCUCGCUGUCACUUACAGAUGGGCCCGCGGCGCAUUAGCUAGUUGGUGAGGUAACGGCUCACCAAGGCGACGAUGCGUAGCCGACCUGAGAGGGGGAUCGGCCACACUGUGACUGAGACACGGCCCAGACUCCUACGGGAGGCAGCAGUAGGGAAUCUUCCGCAAUGGACGAAAGUCUGACGGAGCAACGCCGCGUGAGCGAAGAAGGCCUUCGGGUCGUAAAGCUCUGUUGUCAGGGAAGAACAAGUACCGGAGUAACUGCCGGUGCCUUGACGGUACCUGACCAGAAAGCCACGGCUAACUACGUGCCAGCCGCCGCCGUAAGAC